ACAGUGGACGAGGCCUUACCUGAAAUGAUGGAUGAAAUGAAUAAAUGGAUUACACUAGAUUAAUCAUCAUUACAAUACUCAUAACAAAAAAUAACUAUAACUAUGUAGAUCUAAAGAUUAAAAACUUUCAGGUUUCAGAUCAGGUGGAGCUGCAGGUGAACAGGUCAUUUGAGUUGGAGCGAUGCAGACAGAGACGGUGGAGGCAGAACAGCAUUGUCUGCAUGUUCAUUAAUGAGAGCAGCUCGUUUCAUUCAGCAGGUCUGAGAUCAGCUGUUCUGCACGUCUUCUGGUUUCAGGCUCAUAGAAAGCAGCGAGUUCGCUUCUGUCUCCAUGGCUCCAUGUUGAACGAGUGCUGGAUUUACAGACUGUGAUGAUGAUGUUAAUAUGUGAAUGUGGAACACAAAUGAAUGAAACUCAUUUACUUACUGUUAACAUCUCUUCCUUUUUUAUCUAUGGAAUC